UAGUGGGCAGUGUUGUCACAAAGUUUCUUUGAAAAGCUGACUUAGAUGGUGCUGUACCUCUGAGGGCAUUAGAAGUGUGUAUGAUCUAAAGAGAAUAAAACAGUAUUACAGAAAACUCAUUUGUAUUUAUGUAAACCAAAUGCUCCGUCGGUCUAGACUGGAAUCCCUAGGGCUCCCUCAAAUCCUUGCAGGAUUCCUGGAGUACUAAGGUGGGAAUCAAGAUAAAGAAUCCUAGUAGCUUUCUCUAAGGAAAAGCACCAUCUCAGCAGGGGUAGGGAUUAGGGGUGUUCUCCAAACACUGGAGAAAUGUGGGCAAAAUGACCAAGCUGGCUAAGGUUUUGGGGGGCUCAGUCUUGCAUUCUCCUACCUCUGUCUCAGAUCGUGUGGGCGACUCCAGAUUUAAGUUUCUCCACAUGCUAAAAAUCAACUUCGACCUUAAAAGACACUGUACAAUACAGAGGUGACUAAUUACAGAAUAACUUUUUGAAGCAUGGCUUAUUUAAUUACAUUUUGUAGAGGGCUGAAGGUAUGAUCGAUAAGCAAGCUGGGGCCAUGGUAAGCCGAGUGUAACUCACCAAGAC
rnacentral:lncRNA from 1 species